UUCAACGCUGUACAUGCGAUAUGCGCAACACCACUAUCGUCGUCUCCUACUGUCCAUACGCCUGAAACGUGUGCGCACAAAACGUCCAACGGGAUAGGACGUGGCCGAUUAGAAUCGUAAACGGAUCGUCCUGUCCGCCCGAAUCGGGAAUUGCAAAAUUUAAAAGCCGCGGAUCCUAAAAGAAGCCGAUUUCUAAUCGAUACACGUCAAGCUUUUCAUCGUAAGUCGGCUGAAAUUAUACGCGUUCCGGUUGUUGAAUAGCCUAUAAUUGU